rnacentral:rRNA from 1 species
UGGGGAAUAUUGCACAAUGGGCGCAAGCCUGAUGCAGCCAUGCCGCGUGUAUGAAGAAGGCCUUCGGGUUGUAAAGUACUUUCAGCGGGGAGGAAGGGAGUAAAGUUAAUACCUUUGCUCAUUGACGUUACCCGCAGAAGAAGCACCGGCUAACUCCGUGCCAGCAGUCGCGGUAAUAUGGAGGGUGCAAGCGUUAAUCGGAAUUACUGGGCGUAAAGCGCACGCAGGCGGUUUGUUAAGUCAGAUGUGAAAUCCCCGGGCUCAACCUGGGAACUGCAUCUGAUACUGGCAAGCUUGAGUCUCGUAGAGGGGGGUAGAAUUCCAGGUGUAGCGGUGAAAUGCGUAGAGAUCUGGAGGAAUACCGGUGGCGAAGGCGGCCCCCUGGACGAAGACUGACGCUCAGGUGCGAAAGCGUGGGGAGCAAACAGG